GACGAACCGAGCGAACGUUGUUCGGAAUCACUGGGCGUAAAGGGCGCGUAGGCGGCCGCCCGCGUCGGACGUGAAAGCCCGGGGCUCAACCCCGGAACGGCGUCCGAUACGGGGCGGCUCGAGGCCGGGAGAGGGGGGUGGAAUACCCAGUGUAGAGGUGAAAUUCGUAGAUAUUCGCAAGAACACCAGUGGCGAAGGCGGCUCACUGGCCCGGUACUGACGCUGAGGUGCGAAAGCGUGGGGAGCAAACAGG
rnacentral:rRNA from 1 species